GGAGGGGGAGUAGGAGGGGGAGUAGGGGGACGAGGAGGGGGGUAGGUGAGGCAGAAGGAGGCGGCGGACGGGGAGUACGUAAAGCAGCCCGGAGUAGAGCACCUCUUUCUUCUCCUGGACCCUCUGAUGCAGUGCUUCCUCGUGCACAGGAGGAGGAAACAGAGGAUGGGGAUGAGGUGAGCGAGGAGGAGGACGAGGAGGAUUUUGUGGAGGAGGUGGUGGAGGAGGAGGAGGUGGUGGAGGACGCCGCCGCCGAGAGGAGGCUGGUUGUUCGUCAGGUUUCUGAGGGUGGGGAUGGACCCUCACGGGUGACAGAGCACCAUGAGGUGAGCGGCUCACAACCGAGCGGUUCGACUAUCAGCACUACUUUAGAGGGAAAGCGUGGUUGCGUGGUCCUUCAAAGCUUCCAAGACGUCCAUAUGUGCAUAGAGACGUGUUGAUUAAACCAAUGGGAGAGAAAAGCUUAGUAAAAGGUGGUGAGAGGCGUCUGCCACGGUAGCCGAGUGGCAUCAUUGGGGUCUUUGUAGGUUAAAUUAUCCUGGACUGGUCACUUUGCCGAACGGUAUCAUUGAGCCAGCUUGGUCAUGGGAUCACUACAAACUUGCACCGGAUUUCCUGGAUAUGCGUCAGAGGGUUUAUGAUAACAGAGCCAUGCGAGUGGUCAACGAUUUCUGGGAUUUCUAUACAUGCGUUGAGGGUCAGAAGGAUCGUGCAAAUGUGAUGGUUGAGAAUAUUGCCAAGAAACUAGUCCACGACAUGCACUAUGAGGAGCGCGUCCGGUUAGUGGUCAAGUAUCACGCAGACUAUCUCAACCAGAAGAUUUCCAAACAGGAGGCUCGAGGGAAGCAUCUUUCAUGGGACAAUUACUUCAAAGCAGGUGAUUCCUCGGUGGUGCACUGACAAACGUCCGUGCUGGGAGAAGAUCAUCAAACGGUGGACAGAUCCAGGGUGGCAGGAUGAACACAAAGCAAUAUCUGAAUGACGUAAGUUGAUGGGCUGUCGAGGACACCGUCAAGUCAAACUCACCAUCCCAGGUGUCGUCUCAAAACAUAAAGAAGACACUGGCAAUGAUAUCACUUACUUCGAUGCAUGGACCAUCAGACGUACCAAAGGUGACAAGGACAAGGACCCUCUCCACCCGGAGAGGGACUGGAUCAGCUAUAAAGCCCGGUCAGAUGGAGAGAACUACACCGAAAAAUUGAAGGAGACGUACGGGCCUGACGCUGAUCCUCAUGUGCUACCGUUUGACCCUCUUGUGGCCAUUGUCGCGGCAUGCGGUAGACCGAAUGGCCGGAUGGCGGUUCACCUUGAUUCUAUCAUAACCUUCUCCCUUCCGAGAGUCAACACGCUCCGUGCUAUGAGUAUUGGCUCUACUCCUACCGUAGAGCGUCACAUACCACAUUUCAUGAGCAUUAUUGAGGAUAUUCAGACUUGACUGAUUGACACCGAGAAAGAACGAGAUGAAAACUGGGCCAAGCUGAAGGCACAAAAUGAUCUAAUGAAGUCUUUACAACAUGUGGUGGCCAAUCUUUAUUCCAUGCAAGGCCAACUAGUGCCAGAGAUACCACCGAUGCUAGAGUGGAACAUUCUCAACCCAUCACAAGGGUCGAACAAUGUUCCGGUAGUUCCACCUCAAGUUGGUGGAGUUGGGGCAACAAACGGAAUGAUGCCUUCUAAUGUUGAUGGUAUCACUCCGGUUGGUGGAGUUGGGACAGCAAACGGAAUGAUGCCUUCUAAUGUUCACGUUAUCACUCCGAUCUCCAAAAUCGCGUGAACUUCAUGUUAUGUUAUGUUUGAAAAUGUUCCUUGUAUGUUCAGAAGUCUUGCAUCUUGAGACUUGUAAACUUGUGGUAGUUGAGUGUCUUGACUACUA